CCCCGGAGCACAGAAGCCCCUCCUCUGUCUCUAGCAGGAACACAGUCUACAGGGCUGGGUCUCCCUGUGGGGUCAUGUGGACCCUGCUGUUACACAUCUCCCUCACUCCCUCACCGGUCGGUUUCUCCCAGAAGAAUUUCUGUAAUAAAUAUUUGCCCUAAACCCUCCUCAUCCCAAGGGCUGCUUCUGGCAAGAGAGGAAAAGGGAAGAAGCGAGUCGAGGCACACAAGAUCAGUGCAGGUGAAAAGAAGGGACAAUGCAGGGGUCCGCACGAGGAAGGCAGAUGAAAGUCUAGAAGUCCUUCCGGGACUCCUGUCUCCCCCCGCGCCUGUUUGGUGUACUGGGUGUGACGCUGGGGGGCGGGUGGAAGCUGGAUUCUCACGAGCUGGUUAUGUAGGGUGUCCCACAGGGUAAAAAAUGAUCCUCCGGGCAGACGUUGGGAACCGCCAAUGGGUGUGGGCAAAUGUUGAGCUCCCAGGUGAAAAUCUCAUGGCAGCACGGGCAACCCGGAUGAAAAGCGUUACCUGAUGUCAGGGUGGGGCUGGCUACCUCUGGUUUUCCAACAGACUUUUCAAAGGUCAGGGGAUGUUUUGUUGUAUAAAUAUUUAUAUCCCUCUGCGCUCGGCACCCCUCGCGUAUGCACGCUGCACAAGACAAGUGGAAAUCACAGGAUCUGAAGAACGGCCAGGGCACCUCUUUUUAUAGAGUAACAACCCUUCCCUGGUGCGCUGAAAAACAACGUGUGUCCACAGGAGCUGAGCUGUGACCAAAGACAUUACUUUCCUCCUUCUAUUUUUAGAAGCACUGAUUUCAAACCACACUUCGAUUCUGACACAUACAAAUACAGCCAUUUGCUGGCAGGCAUGGGUCUAGAAAGAAUAAAAUCUCCCUUCUGUGGUAUAAAAGUCCUCUGGGUGAUGCGAGGCCGGAACUGGUGGAGAGAGGCCUUCUGUCCCCGAGGAAGGUGUGGGACGCCCAGAAGCAAUGGAGUGGCCCGGGUGCGGAUAAGACACAGCUGUCCCGUCAUUGUGAUUACGAUUACGAUUGUGAGUCCAGGAGGCUCCUCGCCGAAGCACUGGUUUCACUCUUUUAAAAACAAACUCUUUCAGUCUGCCGAUGUCCCUCGCCCGGGCAUGCUAAAACACGCGAGUUACGCGUUUGCCUUAAGUGCCACGCUGAGUGGUCGCUGA
rnacentral:lncRNA from 1 species